rnacentral:tRNA from 1 species
CGGGUGUAGCUCAAUGGUAGAGCCCGGGCCUUCCAAGCCCGUUGCGUGGGUUCGAUUCCCAUCACCC